CGUUGCUGUGCUCGUGAGUAUGACAAGAUUCUUCAUCCUCCUCCCCUGUUCUCCCUUGUUCGUGCAUUGGGCCCUUCCCCCUGGUCAUGCUUUGAGACAUUCAAACCUCUCCUUCUUCUCUAUUCUUGCCAAGAGUGUUUAUAGGAGGUGCUAGCCCCAUGCGAUGACCAAUGCACGUGGAAUGGAGGGAUGGUUAUUCGUGAGCAUCGUACUCACGUUUGUUUCAUGGCUUCGACUGCGUUUGGUUACUUACCCUCAUAGACCAUGUGUCCACAUUUGUUUCAUGGUUUCAGCUAUGCUUGGUUACUUACGCUCGUGGAUUGUGUGUCCAUGUUUGUAUUCGUGUCAUAAGCCGCGUUCGGUUAUUUAUUCUCAUGGAUUUUGUGUCCACGUUUGUUAAUUAUUCUGAUAAGUUUCUAUAAUAUAAAUUUGAUUAUUUGAUGA